AACGUGUUGUAUGGUUUAAUUUGAUUUAGGCUGUACGUGAAAUCAUAAAAUUGAGUAAUAAUUUUCUUGUAUUUACAUGAAUUAUCCCGGCUAGGCGACAUAUUUUUCUGAUAAAACUCUGUGUUCCUGAUGAUUUCUCCAAUAUGGCUAAUCCUGAGGUAGUCAUAACUGAGCUCAUGAUAGAACUAGCGGUUUUAUCACAGCAUUUUUUUGGUUUAUGUUACGGCCACGAAAUCUUUUGUUGGUUGUAUGCAUUGCCUCACAGUUUUGUGUAUUUGUUUACAAAAAAAAAAUCUCUCCGACGACAACCGCAAAUGUAAGUUUUAUUGGAAUUAUAUAUAAUAAGUGAUAAAACCAAUUCAUGUCUACUUGCAAGUCUUUAACUGAAGAAGUUUAUAGCAGAAUUUAUAUGAUAGUUUUAUGGAACGCCAAAGGUUCAAAGUAAAAAACUAUUACAUAAAACUAAUUUAGAACAACGAGCUUUUUGACAUGCUCGUAUAAAACCAGGAUAAAACAUGAAUAAACCUUCAAGGCAUGCUGAUUGUUACUUGGGUAAGUUAUCUACUGUCAAUAUACAGGGGAUACUCAAAAUAACUGGGAUAGGUAAAAUUUUCACUUUUCAAAAAAUGUUCAACUCGCUGUAACUUUUCGAAAAAAGCAUCAAAUAUUCUCAAAUUUUUACUGUAAGUUCAUCAACUAGUUGUGUAUCAGUGGUCAAAAUUCGGAAAAUAUCGAGCCAUUCUACACGAAGUUAUAAAGGUUCUAGAAAAAGGUAUAAUUAUCCGAUAGCCAACUUUGAGCUGUUAUAUCUCCGGAUUCAAUGAACCGAAUGCAAUGAAAUUUUGAACAUUUAUGACUAGUAUAAUAAACUUUGAAAAACAGUUUACUUAAUUUGAAAAUAUUAAUAAGAAAAAAAGUUAUGGCGGUUUCAUUUAUUCUAUGUUUUUUAGUAAAUUUAUCUAUUUUUCAUAUGCAUCCCAUUACUUUUUCAACUUAAUGCCAGUUAUUUUGUUACUUCCUUUCAAAACAUAUUCAUAUUGAAGUCAAUUAGAGGGAAUUUAAAUGAACUAUAAUAACUAUCUCGAAUUUUAAAACGAUGAUGAAAUUUUGGAUAAAUUGGUGGUAUAUUAGAAAAAUAAUCCAAUCGUAAUAAUUUUCUUUCGUGUGAAGAAUUUUAAGUUUAGUCAAAAAUUUUUGAUAGCUUAUUAUAUAAGUAAUAAAUGAUCAAAAUUUCAUUGCAUUCGAUUCAUUAAAUCCGGAGAUAUAACAGCUCAAAGUUGGCUAUCGGAUAAUUAUACCUUUUUCUGGAACCUUUAUAACUUCGUGUAGAAUGGCUCAAUCUUUUCCAAAUUUUGACCACUGAUACACAACUAGUUGAUGAACUUACAGUAAAAAUUUGAGAAUAUUUGAUGCCCUUUUCGAAAAGUUACAGCGAACUGAACAUUUUUUGAAAAGUGAAAAUUUUACCUAUCCCAGUUAUUUUGAGUAUUCCCUGUAUUUUGUUCAUCUGACGAACUGCAUGGCGAUGCUGUGCGAUUGCAUACUUGGAGGCGUAUUCAGUGGUCUGGCGAUAUUUCUUCGAUUUAUUUAACAAAAACUGCAAUAGAGUAAUUCAUGUAUUUUUGACAGGCUGAGGAAAACGUUGGAAAAAUCGUCCCCUAGCUUCCGUAGUAAGCAAUUGAUUAUUUUGCAAAGUUACUAAUACGCUUAUAAUAUGAUUGUGCUUUGUGUUCCUGGUGACAAAAACCUUAACGGAAGCAUUUUCAGCUGAGAAAAUCACAAUUUCCAAUCGCCUGUUAGAAUUGCAUUUUGGACACCCUCAGGUACAUAUAAUUUGGACAGGGCAAUUAUCUCAAUGUUUAGCCAUGAAUACUGUUAAAUUAUGGAAGUAGUAUAAUUUAAUAAAUAUUUUCUUGUAAAUAAUCAAAUUUCUUCGAUUAACAGGCACCUAUUUUGGUAAUUAAUGCAGUUUUUGUUAAAAUCGAUGAAAUAUCACCAGACCCACAGAAUACGCCUCAAAAUAUGCAAUCGCACGGCAUUUUAAGAGUUCUAGUUCUAGAUGAAUGUUCAGAGAUUGGCUGCCUAAUGCUUCUUUAUUGAACAUUUUUAAUUGCACUGAGACUUUUAAAUUUCAUACAAUUAUUAAUUAAGUGAUUUAGGGUGAAUAUUGUAUGUAUCUUGCAUACCUGUGCAUUUGAGGGGUUUUAGUGAAACAAUUUACAUUUUCGAUAAUUUUGAUGUAAAUUCCUAAUUUUUAAGCGUACACCCUAAGCAAAUGAGUAUGUUAGGCCUGUUUAACAGAGAAAAACUUAACAUAUUAUCAGUUGUUUUACAACUUUUACUUGUUUCCAAUCGUUUACAGCAGGUAGAAUGUCUUUAUGGUGGGGAAGUAAUGAAUUGUAAACCGUGUGUUUUUCAGGGCUGGCAAGAAAGGUAGGGGGGGUGCGGGUAAGACGGACCACUAACUAGUUCUGUCACUUAAGAGCUGAAACUUGGCUUGAGAGAAAACAUAAUAUUAUGUUAUGUUAUUAUGACAUAUUAUGUCCAGUGGCGUAGCAAGGGGGGGUGCGAUUGGUGCGGUCCGCACCGGGCCCCGCGAAUUCAGGGCGCCUCCAAAUCAAGGAAGGUUUCUAACACUAGUUUGAAUUAGGUUCUUCAAAUAGCAAAAGUUUCCGAUAAGUAUAAGUUCAACACUUCGCAGAACUGCUGAUAGGUAUGUGGGGGCCCCUUCGUGGUUAUCAUGGGGCACAUGGAUGUCCCCAAAAUUACAAGAAAAAUAUGUUAGAGAUUAAAAUUGGAUUUUACGAAAUUAAUUACCGAUUUGAGAGUAAAAUUUAUGAGCAUUGUGAAAACGUCCCUGACAUCCUGAUAACAGGACCAAAUAUAGUUGUUGACUCAGCAGAUAGCAGCUAAAUUUCAGGAGCCGCAUUUACGAAAAUUAUGAUCUAAACACAUGCCAAGUCAAAACCGUAAUUGACGAAUUUCGCGCCAACUCGACCAGUGGUUGGCAACACCCUCUCAGAAUCGAAUGAAACUUGGUGGGCAUAAAGACUAGGUUUUUAUAAGCAACUUUGCAUACUUAAAUUUUCGAAAAUUUUCAAGAGUAACAUUUGAAGAGGGCCUAACUUUUUUUCGAAUAAUUUUUUAAAAUCGAUGUAACUCAAAAAUGACAAGACCUAUAGAAAAGUGUUGUAUGGGGGACUUUUAGAGAAUUGUCCAAGCUUUCAUGAAAAAAUAUUUAAAAAACUCUAAAUACAUUUUUACACGCUAAAAAAUAUAUUUUUAAAAUUAAAAGUCAAUUUACAGAAAAUGCCCACUUUUUUAUGUUUUGAAUUUUUUUUUCCAAGAAAGUCAAUAUUGUUGCCUAACUUUCCUCCAUACAUCACAAGAUGGGCACUUUUAAGGAAAAAAAGUUUUUCUAACAAAAACUUUUUCAUGUUAUUUUUUUAGCGUGUUGCGCAUUAACUCGUACAGGAUGUAUCAAGAAUCCUUAUACCCAUUUAAUAACACUCAAUGGGCAUUUCAACUUUGUUUGAUUGGGUGCCUUCUUUUUCUUGGCGUUACAUCCCAACUGGAAUAGAACCUGUUUCUCAGCUUGUUUUGAUAUCUGAAUGCUUAAAACAGCAUUCUGUUUGCUGAAAUUGUAUUAUUGUGUGCCUAGAACCAGUGAACUAACAUCAUUAUUAGAAGCGAAUGAUAAAGAAUCGGUUUUAUUUCAACAAUGGCUAACAACUGAUCGAUGCAAUUUGGAAACUAUUACUAAGACUAUAGACGAGUUUGUUCCGUAUUUUGUAGAAAAAGUUGAUAAGCUUAUAACUCAUGAUUUCAUUUAUAAAGAACAAUCCUCAUUUUUGCGGGAUAAAAAAGAAUCUCUUAAACAGGGUGAAGUAUUAACAAUUUGUGACUUUUCAGAAAAUUAUUCAUUUAUCAUUCAAAAUCCAGCUCAAGGUUACCAUUGGAAUAAUUCUCAAGCUACCAUUCAUCCCUUUGAAGUGUACUACAGAAAAGAAAAUAAGUUGGAAAACUUGAGCUUUAUAAUAAUAUCUGAAGUACUUACACACGAUACAACAGCAGUUCAGUUAUUUAUAUCAAAACUGCUGGAUUUCAAUCAACAAUCGAUUGAUUUCUCAAAAAUUACUUUCAUGUCAGAUGGAGCAGCAGCUCAUUAUAAGAACAAAAAAAAAUUGCCAGUUUGUGCAGUUUUCGGUCCAAUUAUGGAUUGGAAGCAGAAUGGCACUUCUUCGCAACUUCACAUGGCAAAGGUCCAUGUGACGCUGUUGGAGGUACUCUCAAGCGAAUGGCAAAACGAGCAAGUCUUGCUCGAGAUUAUGGAAACACAAUCACAACUCCUCGAGAACUGUAUGACUGGGCAGUUAAACAGUCAGAUAUACAUAUAACAAAAUUGAAUUUCUGCUUUAUUUCAAAUGAACAAUAUGCAAAAAUGACGGAUGAACUUGAAGAACUAUACACAUACAGUCACGUAAAAACAAUACCUGGUACACAAAAAUUUCAUUCAUUUGUGCCAAUUUCUGAAAAUAAAAUUGAAGCGAAGAAGUUUUCGAAUUCAAAAGAUAAUCCAAAAAAGUUUACUUUGUUUCAGAUUGACUAAAGAUCUAAUAUUCAAAAACCGUUACAAUAUGAAUGUAUGAAAGAAGGAUGUAUAUAUUGUAGAAAAGAAAAUAAUUGAAUACACAUAUACAUAUGUACAUAUUUCAUCAAUACACAAGCGUUUUCAUUGAUAUAAAACCCUAAAAGCAAAUUUGUCUUGAGCCCUUUCCAAUAUCAAGCACGUUUUCAAUGUCAAGCACGUUAAGAUAUUAAAAAAGUAGUUGAGCCCAUUAAGUUUUAAUGGAUUGUCAUUAGGAUUCUGGAUACAUUACUGUACGAGUUAAUGCACAACACGCAAAAAAAACAAAAUGAAAAAGUUUUUUUUAGAAAAAAAAAUUUUUCCUUAAAAGUGCCCAUCUUGUGAUGUAUGGAGGAAAGUUAGGCAACUAUAUUGUCUUUCUUGGGAAAAAAAUUCAAAACAUAAAAAAAGUGGGCUUUUUCUGUAAAUUGACUUUUAAUUUUGAAAAGAUAUUUUUUAGCGUGUAAAACAUUUUUUUAUAUUUUUUAAAUAUGUUUUCUUGAAAGCUUGGACAAUUCCCUAAAAGUCCCCCAUACAUCACUUUUUUGUACAACUUAUCAUAUUCGAGUUAUAUUUUUUGUGAAAAAAACGGCUAAUGCGCAACACGCUAAAAAAACUAACAUGAAAAAGUUUUUGUUAGAAAAACUUUUUUUCCUUAAAAGUGCCCAUCUUGUGAUGUAUGGAGGAAAGUUAGGCAACAAUACUGACUUUCUUGGAAAAAAAUUUCAAAACAUAAAAAAGUGGGCAUUUUCUGUAAAUUGACUUUUAAUUUUAAAAAUAUAUUUUUUAACGUGUAAAAAUGUAUUUAGAAUUUUUGAAAUAUUUUUUCAUGAAAGCUUGGACAAUUCUCUAAAUGUCCCCCAUACAUCACUUUUUGUACAUCUUAUCGUAUUCGAGUUAUUUUUUUGUGAAAAAAAAACGGUUAAAAAACUUUGACUCUUUUUAAAUGUUAGUCUAGGUUAAUUUUGAAAAAACAAAAUAUGCAAAGUUGCUUGAAAAGGUAAAGUUUUGAAACCUACAAAAUUUCAUAACAUUCUGAGGGGGUGCUGCCAACCCCGAAGACGAGUUGGUGCGAAAUUCGUCAAUUGCUAUCGUAUAAAAAAAGUACAAUCAACGUAUUCCAACAAAUUUAUGAAGUAUUUCUUUCAAGUAUUCCUUGAAGGGUUUCUACGAGAAUUCCUUUGGGCAAAGUAAAUACUUACAUACCUUGCCUUCGGGAAUAUGUAUUGUAUUACGAUUUAUCUAGCAGUUACUUUAAAGACUUUUACAAACAUUCCUCUAAGAUUUACUUCAGAACUUUUUUCAUGGAUUGCUUUAGAAAUUCUUCUAAGCGUUGACUUGAAUUGAUUCCUUCAGGAACACCACCAAGAAUUUCUUCAUUAUUUUUUUUCCAAAAUGUAUCAAGGAAUCUUUAAAAAAAUCCUUCAAGGAUUAUUUUACCUUACAAAUUCUUUCGAGUAUUCCUUCAAGAAUACCUCCUCGGAUCCCUUCAUAAAGUCCUUCACGGAUUAUGUCAUGAAGUUCUUCAACGUAUCCUUCAGAUGAACCUUAAGAAAUUUCUCCAAGGAUCCUUUUGGAGACUUCUCAACGAAAGAAUGUUGCAGGAGUUCCUCAUGGAAAACAUCUUUGAUGAAUUUCUGAAAUCAUGCUUGAUCAGGUAUGGCUCUUGAAUGGAUCCUUGUGGGAUUUUUGCAGGAAUUUCGGAGGAAUUCCUGAACGAGAUUUUUAACCUACCUCUCAAAUUCGUUGAUGCAAUUAAAAAAAACAAUUUUCGGAAGAAAUCCCACAGAUUUCAGUGGAAAAAUUUCUGCUGGAAGCCUUGGGGGAAUUCCUUCAAGACCCCCUAAGGAAAUUUGUGCAGGAAUCCUUUGGAGAUGAAUGUAUCCUCGUAGGAUUAUUUGAAGGAAAAAUUUGAGAAAUCCCUGAAGGAAUCUUUGUAACAUAGCAUUAAAAAAGUCUUGAAAAAAAAAGAUUAAAUAUUUAUUGGAUUUUCUUAAAGGAUUCAUGAACGAAUUGUGGAAGAGGAAUUUUAAAAAUUGCGUAAUCUUUGGACGAUUUCAUACAGUAAUUAUUGGAAAAAUUUCUGAAGAAAUCUUUGAAAUUCUUGAACAAUACUUCGUAAUAAAUACUUGAAAGGGCUUAACUUUAAGAAAACCGCUUGAGGCACUGCAAAAAGAACCCUUGCAGAAAUUUCUAAAAACAAAUCUUGAAGGAAUUUCUAAAAUAAAAUCUUGGAGGAAUUUGUUAAGAAGUCUUUGAAGUAAUUCCUAGAUGAAUCGUAA